rnacentral:tRNA from 3 species
GCCUCGAUGGUGAAAUUGGUAGACACACCGGACUUAAAAUCCGUUGGCCGUGAGGCCGUGCCGGUUCGAUUCCGGCUCGAGGCACCA